GUUUAUUUACCUCUUUCUUUCUUUCUUUCUUUCUUUCUUUCUUUCUUUUCUUUCUUUCUUUGGGUCUGAGUGGCUAUGAACCAUCACCAUGAGGACAGUUUGCUGGGUUUGGGCUUGUUUUUAUUUUUUUUUUUAUUUUUAUUUUUUUGUUUAAUUUUUAUUUAUUUAUGAUAGUCACACAGAGAGAGAGAGAGAGGCAGAGACACAGGCAGAGGGAGAAGCAGGCUCCAUGCAGAGGGAGAAGCAGGCUCCAUGCACCGGGAGCCCGACGUGGGAUUCGAUCCCGGGUCUCCAGGAUCGCGCCCUGGGCCAAAGGCAGGCGCUAAACCGCUGCGCCACCCAGGGAUCCCCUUGGGCUUGUUUUUAACGAGUGCACCAGUCCUUUUUGAGAUGCAGCUGCCACAGAAAAGGAAGAAAGAAACCAUGAGGAAUAUGAGAAGACAGGGAUUCCCAUAGUACUCCUGAAGAGUUGGAAAGCUUCCUGCCUUUCCUGGUGAACACAGUGCACAGCAAAGCACAAUUCCUGCCCUCAGGAAGCUCGCUGUCCAACAAGCACAACAGACAGGUGAAUCAAUGACUUCGAUUUAUGAUGCAGGUUUGAUGACGAGAGAGCAGAGCAAGAUUGAAGCACAGAAGAGAACAAGUGAAUCAAGUCAAGGCUCGUGGGGACGCCUGAGGGGCUCAGUGGUUGAGCAUCUGUCUUUGGCUCAGGGCAUGAUCCUAGAGUCCUAGGAUCGAGUCCCACGUCGGGCUCCCUGCAUGGAGCCUGCUUCUCCCUCUGCCUGUGUCUCUGCUUCUCUCUCUCUGUCCCUCUGUGUGUGUGUGUCUCAUGAAUAAAUAAAUAAAAUCUUAAAAAAAAAAAAAAGAC